rnacentral:misc_RNA from 1 species
GUAGGUGAACCUGCGGAAGGAUCAUUACAUUCAGUAGCUUGCUACUGUUAGGGGGGUCUGUUAGCCUGUAUAGUAUCACUACUGAUGAGCAGCGCGACCCUCUGUCUGUACCCUUGUCUUUUGCGCACUCAUGUUUCCUCGGCGGGUUUACACCCGUCGGCUGGACAACUCUAUAACCUUUUUAAUUUUCAAUCAGCGUCUGAAAAACCUAAUAAUUACAACUUUCAACAACGGAUCUCUUGGUUCUG